rnacentral:misc_RNA from 1 species
UAACUUUACAAAAUUCUUCUUCAAGUUAACACUAAAUUUCAUUUUACAUUUUCAAUGUCAUGAAAAUCCUUAAACACUCUACUUUUGACACAGAUGAAGUUUUAAAAUAUUCUUUUGAACUUGCACAUAAUAUUCCCAAAGCCAUCUCUUGCAAACAAUAUUAAAUAAAAAUAAAAAAAUUAAGAGUUCAUUAAUUUUCCAUCAAAUGUCCAA